rnacentral:rRNA from 1 species
UCAAGCUAAGAAGAGCAUAAGGUGAAUGCCUUGGCAUCAGGAGCCGACGAAGGACGCGACUAACUGCGAAAAGCUGCGGGGAGCUGUACAUAAGCAUUGAUCCGCGGGUAUCCGAAUUGGGAAACCACCGUGAUGAAGAAUCACGGAUCAUACGGUGAAUAAAAUAGCCGUAUGAGGGGAACGCCCUGAAGUGAAACAUCUAAGUAGGGGCAGGAAGAGUAAUCAACCGAGAUUGCGUAAGUAGCGGCGAGCGAAAGCGCAGGAAGGCCAAACCGGGAGCGGAAACGCACCCGGGGUAAGGACCGCAUAAAGAGACGAUAGCAGAGCCGAACGGCAUGGGAAGGCCGAUCAGAGAAGGUGAGAAUCCUGUAGGCGAAAGCGACAAUAUCGGGCGGAAUCCGGAGUACGUGCGGACACGAGGAAUCCACACGGAAGACGGGGGGACCACCCUCCAAGCCAAAAUACUACCUGAUGACCGAUAGAGGACCAGUACUGUGAAGGAACGGUGAAAAGAACCCCGGGAGGGGAGUGAAAGAGAACCUGAAACCUUAUGUUUACAAGCACGCAAAGCACGUCAAAGUGCGAUGCGGUACUUUUUGUAGAACGGUCCGGCGAGUUGAUUAGACUGGCGAGGUUAAGCGGUUAAGCCGCGGAGCCGCAGCGAAAGCGAGGGUAAAGAGCCCGGCAAGUCAGUUGUAUCAGACCCGAAACCGGGUGACCUAUCCAUGUGCAGGAUGAAGUUCGGGUAAAACCGAAUGGAGGUCCGAACCGACCCCCGUUGAAAAGUUGGCGGAUGACAUGUGGAUAGCGGAGAAAUUCCAAUCGAACUCGGAGAUAGCUGGUUCUCCCCGAAAUAGCUUUAGGGCUAGCCUCGCGAAUGAUUUACGGAGGUAAAGCACUGACCGAACGAGGGACCGAGAGGUUACCAACUUCCAUCAAACUAAGAAUGCCGUAAAAUUGAAUCGCGGGAGUCAGACGGUGUGAGAUAAGUCUCAUCGUCAAAAGGGAAAAAGCCCAGAUCUACAGCUAAGGUCCCAAAUAUAUGCUAAGUGGAGAAGGAUGUAGCGUUGCGAAUACAACCAGGAUGUUGGCUCAGAAGCAGCCACACAUUAAAAGAGUGCGUAACAGCUCACUGGUCGAGUGGCGCCGCGCCGAAAAUUCAACGGGGCUAAGCAUAUAACCGAAGCUUAGGAAUAGAAAUAUUGGUAGGGGAGCGUCGAAUACGGGGUGAAGCAUCAGCGGAAGCGGGUGUGGACUGUAUUGGAGUGAGAAUGCCGGAAUGAGUAGCGAGAAUUGCGCGAGAAUCGCGAUGGCCGAAAGUCCAAGGUUUCCAGGGGAAGGCUCGUCCUCCCUGGGUAAGCCGGGAGCUAAGGCGAGGCCGAAAGGCGUAGUCGAUGCACACACGGUGGAAAUUCCGUGGCCGCGGAGCAUAAGGUAUCUGACACAUAGAAGUGGUAACUGCCCGGCGAUGGUCGCCCGGGUCGAAAGGGACUGAAGAUUAGUAGGGAAGAGAUACCACGGAGAUGGCGAGAAAAGGAUACAUGGAGUGUGCUUACGCGCCCGUACCGCAAACCGACACAGGUGGAUGGGGUGAGGAACCUAAGGCCGGCGGGAGAAGGGUUGUUAAGGAACUCGGCAAAUUGGCCACGUAACUUCGGGAUAAGUGGCGCCACUGAGAAGUGGCCGCAGUGAAAAGGCCCAAGCGACUGUUUAUCAAAAACACAGGUCUCUGCAAAACCGAAAGGUGAGGUAUAGGGGCUGACGCCUGCCCGGUGCCGGAAGGUCAAGGGGAACACUCAGCGCAAGCGAAGGUGUGAACUUAAGCCCCGGUAAACGGCGGCCGUAACUAUAACGGUCCUAAGGUAGCGAAAUUCCUUGUCAGGUAAGU